AAUCAACGCUGGCGGCGUGCCUCAGACGUGCAAGUCGAACGAUUAAAGCUCUCUUCGGAGAGUGCAUAGAGUGGCGCACGGGGGUGAGUAACACGUAAGUAAUCUACCUUCGAGUGGGGAAUAACGUCCGGAAACGGGCGCUAAUACCGCAUAAUGCAGCGGCAUCGCAAGAUGACAGUUGUUAAAGGAGCAAUCCGCUUGAAGAGGAGCUUGCGGCAGAUUAGCUAGUUGGUAGGGUAAUGGCCUACCAAGGCUACGAUCUGUAACCGGUCUUAGAGGACGGUCGGUCACACUGACACUGAAUAACGGGUCAGACUCCUACGGGAGCAGCAGUCGGGAAUUUUGGGCAAUGGGGGAAACCGUCGACCCAGCAACGCCGCGUGAAGGAUGAAGUA
rnacentral:rRNA from 1 species